ACAAGUCUUCAGGGCGGGGUGUAAUUCCCCACCGGCGGUAAAGCCCGCGAGCCUAUUUGGCAGAUUCGGUUAGAUUCCGAAGCCGACAGUAAAGUCUGGAUGAAAGAGGACAAGA
rnacentral:ncRNA from 2 species